rnacentral:rRNA from 1 species
GACGAACGCUGGCGGCGUGCUUAACACAUGCAAGUCGAACGGAAAGGCCCCUUUGGGGGUACUCGAGUGGCGAACGGGUGAGUAACACGUGAGUAACCUUCCCUUGACUUCGGGAUAACUUCAGGAAACUGGGGCUAAUACCGGAUAGGAAUCCUUGCUGCAUGGUGGGGGUUGGAAAGCUUCGGCGGUUUUGGAUGUACUCGCUGCUUAUCAGCUUGUUGUUGGGGUAGUGGCUUACCAAGGCUUUGACGGGUAGCCGGCCUGAGAGGGCGACCGGCCACAUUGGGACUGAGAUACGGCCCAGACACCUACGGGAGGCAGCAGGGGGGAAUAUUGCACAAUGGGCGGAAGCCUGAUGCAGAAACGGCGCGGGCGGGAUGACGGCCUUCGGGUUGUAAAACGCUUUCAGCAGGGGCGAAGCUUGUGGUGACGGUACCUGCAGAAGAAGCACCGGCUAACUACGUG